rnacentral:tRNA from 1 species
GACGCGGUGUUCGCUGGUAGUUUCAACUUGGGUUUUCACCCCAAGGUUCGCGGGUUCAAUUCCCGUCCGCGUUA